rnacentral:misc_RNA from 1 species
GAUGAAGAACGCAGCGAAAUGCGAUACUUGGUGUGAAUUGCAGAAUCCCGUGAACCAUCGAGUCUUUGAACGCAAGUUGCGCCCGAAGCCAUUAGGCCGAGGGCACGCCUGCCUGGGCGUCACACGUCGUUGCCCCCCCAUCUACUCCUUCGGGAUUGCGGGGGGCGGAUGAUGGCCUCCCGUGCGCCUCGUCGCGCGGUUGGCCUAAAUGCCAAGUCCUCGGCGACGCACGCCACGACAAUCGGUGGUUGCGAAACCUCGGUUGCCUGUCGUGUGCGGUCGUCGCGCAUCGAGGGCUCGAAAAAAUUGCCGGGCUUCGGCUCGACUUUCAACGCGACCCCAGGUCAGGCGGGGUUACCCGCUGAAUCUAAGCAUAUCAAUAAGCGGAGGA